AUUGAACGCUGGCGGCAGGCCUAACACAUGCAAGUCGAACGAGUGGCGGACGGGUGAGUAAUGUCUGGGAAACUGCAUGAUGGAGGGGGAUAACUACUGGAAACGGUAGCUAAUACCGCAUACCAUCGGAUGUGCCCAGAUGGGAUGAGCUAGUAGGUGGGGUAAAGGCUCACCUAGGCGACGAUCCCUAACUGGUCUGAGAGGAUGACCAGCCACACUGGAACGGAGACACGGUCCAGACUCCUACGGGAGGCAGCAGUGGGGAAUAUUGCACAAUGGGCGCAAGCCUGAUGCAGCCAUGCCGCGUGUGUGAAGAAGGCCUUCGGAUUGUAAAGUACUUUAAGUGGGGAGGCGUUACCCACAGAAGAAGCACCGGCUAACUCCGUGCCAGCCGCCGCGGUAAUUC
rnacentral:rRNA from 1 species